CUUCCCAGGCGGGUUCGCGCGCCACACCUCAGCUUCCUGAGCUUGGGAAGGAGAGGUGCGGCUAGGGCGCUAGGUCUUCCCGGCUCCGGCCGGGGCCGCCAGUGUGGAAGGCUGAGCGCCAGCAGCGGGAGAGGCUCAGGGAUGCACAUCCCUGCGAUGUCCCCAAUGCACAGCUUGACUUCGAGCCGUGGCAGUACGGAUUUGUGAAUCACGCCCUGGAGCUGCUGGUGAUCCGCAAUUACGGGCCCGAGGUGUGGGAAGACAUCAAAAAAGAGGCCCAGUUAGAUGAAGAAGGACAAUUUCUGGUCAGAAUAAUAUAUGAUGAUUCCAAAACGUAUGAUUUGGUUGCUGCUGCAAGCAAAGUCCUCAAUCUAAAUGCUGGAGAAAUCCUUCAGAUGUUUGGGAAAAUGUUUUUUGUCUUUUGUCAAGAAUCUGGUUAUGACACAAUCUUACGCGUCCUGGGAUCUAAUGUCAGAGAAUUUCUGCAGGUAA